rnacentral:other from 1 species
CCGUCUCUGUGACUCCGGUGUGCGAUCGACAUAUGAAUCCCGAGUAAGCAUGAACCCGGGAGCCAGCACCUCGGUCGUGGUGAGCAGGCCCAGAAUCUUUCACUGGGAAGCCUAAAGCGGCCCGCCGGCACCCACCUAGCAAACUUGCUAGGGGUUCACGUCGCAUCAGCCACGCUGCCACGGUUUCGGA